AUUGAACGCUGGCGGCAGGCCUAACACAUGCAAGUCGAGCGGAGCGGCUGACGGGUGAGUAAUGCCUAGGAAUCUGACUGGUAGUUGGGGAAAACGUCCUGAACCGGGCGCUAAUACCGCAUACUAUCAGAUGAGCCUAGGUAGGGUUGGCUAGUUGGUGGGGUAAAGGCCUACCAAGGCGACGAUCAGUAACUGGACUGGGAGGAUGAUCAGCCACACUGGAACUGAGACACGGUCCAGACUCCUACGGGAGGCAGCAGUGGGGAAUAUUGGACAAUGGGCGAAAGCCUGAUCCAGCCAUGCCGCGUGUGUGAAGAAGGUCUUCGGAUUGUAAAGCACUUUAAGUUGGGAGGCGUUACCAACAGAAUAAGCACCGGCUAACUUCGUGCCAGCAGCCGCGGUAAUUC
rnacentral:rRNA from 1 species